GUAGCCGGGAAGGGUGGGGAUGCGCCUCGCGAAGGGAGGAGUCUAGAACCUGCGCCUGAGCAGCGUGGUUCCCGACUCUGAGCGCACGAGCCCGACAUGCAGAGGACAGUUCAAAGAUGACGAAGAUAACUUACUUCCUGUCUUUCAGGAGCUCACAAUCUAGCAAUGGGGACAGAUAUCGAGUCCUAAUUUGGUGCUUUCUUUUUUCACUGGACCAUACCACCUCUCUUGGACCAUUUAAGAUAUCACACUUAACAGCUGUGUCACUAAGAAGCUGAAUCUGGAAAAACAACCACAAAGCAAAUAUUGGAAGAUGAAAAAUCUGUUUUGACUCAAGAAGCCAUCAUCACUGUGAAAGGGGUCAGUCUCAGCAGAAACCUCGAAGCACUGAUGGCAAACUCGCUAUCUUCAAAGUGAUAAAGGCCCAGAAGCAAUGGAAUGGGUAACACACAAAUUAAAUGCUGAGAUUCAAGAAUGGACUGUCUUGGCAAGAGGAAGUAUCAGGACUCUGAUGGGGCAGCAGCAUUUGUACAGAAGUUGGUAUACAACAUCCUUAUCCCCAGGUCUUUUCAAGCUGGCAGUAUAUUUGUUAUUUAAAAAGACA